rnacentral:misc_RNA from 1 species
AAACAUGGCGACGCCCAGCGAACUGUCUAUCGAAGAGAUUCGUCAAUAUUUAUUGGAAAACGGUGGUACUGCACGCAAUCACGACGUGGUGAAGCACUUCAAGAAAUUCCUCACGGACCCUGAAACCCGAGUGGAGGCACGGAAUCGUUUCAAGGAGUACGUAAACACCCUGGCUACUAUAAAGAACGAAGAGGGAGAAAAAUAUUUGGUUCUGAAGAAGAAGUACCGUCAAAGUCCCUUAGACCUUUCCACCGCGGAGCAAAGUGCAUCGCCUAUUGCCACCCCCGACCUAGCCACCCCAGUCUCGCCUCUUCGAGUUCCACCCCCCUAUCGGCCGCCACCCCCCGCGCCUCAAAGUCCGUCGUCGAAUAACGGAAACCCUCAACAAGAUGAAUCGAGUUUCGUCCACGAAGAGGCAACGAUCAACGAGCAAAAAAAUGGCGAGACCGGAUUUUCAACGUCAUCUCCACCCGUACCACCGCGGCGUAAAAGUCAAGAUAAGAUCAAGCUAGAGAACAAGGAAAACGUCGACAGGAAUAAGGGAGGAUCAGAGGCAGUUAUCAAGGAAGAUGAGGCAGUCGUGGCAAAUCCAGGCUCAACCGAGCAAUUAAGCUUCCGCGAACGGAUGCAACGUUUCAACCGGAUGGCUAGCGAAACCGAUCUCCAAGGCAGACCUAACGGCGCUAUCACGCCCACUAAAAAGCGAUCAGACAAGGGCGCCGACGAAGAUGACAGCGCUUCCGUUGCCUCGCAACUGGACGGGAAGUCACGGGAGUGGUUGGUCAGAGCGGCGCAAGGGGAUUAUCAGGCAUUGGCGAAAUUGGCUGCGGAGGAACCUCGACUCGCCCGGCUCAAGGAUCCAACGUCCUAUACGGCGUUGCACUGGGCGGCCAAACAUGGCGACGAGAACAUCGUGAAGCUGAUCGCUGGGACCUACAAGGAUUACAUCAAGAGCGUCAACGAGACUACGAAUGGGGGAUACACGCCGUUGCAUAUUGCCAUGCAGUUUGAUCACGAGAACAUCUUCAAUCUUUUGGUCCAAGUCUAUGGUGCGAAUCAAGAGAUACGCGAUUACAGCGGAAAGAAGGCCAGACAGUAUUUGGUCUCUCAGGAGGCCGCUGUCAGUCAGGACACCUUCCGCAGGAUUACUGCUGCCGCUACGCUCAGAAAUAAAAGCAAGGAAAAAGCAUGCAGAGAAAGAUCUUGGUUUCCUGCGAAUUGGCUCGUUGAACGUACGCGUGAAACGUACGACGGAAGCGUUCAGCCAGUUCCUGGGUGUGGCAACUAGCAGCGCCAGCAGCAACCACGAGAAGAUACACAAGACAUGGGGAUCGGCGGAUAAUGUACAGCUGGAGCAAAAGAUGAUGCCUCCACCAAAGUACGCGCCCAUAAAGAAGCGGAGGAGCCGCCGCGCGCAAGACUUCAGCUCUUCCCGA